rfam:Triticum aestivum genome assembly, contig: Triticum_aestivum_CS42_TGACv1_scaffold_591820_7BS
UUUCUACUCCCUCCGUCCGAAAAUACUUGUCAUCAAAAUGGACAAAAAGAGAUGUAUCUAGAACUAAAAUACGUCGAAAUACAUCCCCUUUUAUCUAUUUUGAUGACAAGUAUUUCCGGACGGAGGGAGUACCUU